rnacentral:lncRNA from 1 species
UGGGCGCUGAUAACACAAUAACGACAGAAGACCCGUUACAUCCAAACUUAAAUUAUUAAAUAAUGAACCGUCACAAAAAGUGACUUUUUAAGUCAGUAGUUCAUGAUCUUUUUUUUUAAACAAAACUAUUUAACGGCAUCAUCCAACACUCACAUCACUGAUUCAUAUACUUUAUUUUAAAAUGUAAAGUACAUGUAUGAGAAGUUCUCUUCUUGGAAAGGUAUACUGACUAUACUGUUAAUAUAAUUUGAAGAAGGAAAAUGAUUGGUUUUGUUUGUAGCCUUACGUCC